AGGUGACGCCUGCCCAGUGACUGUGUGUUCAACGGCUGCGGUAUUUUAACCGUACAAAGGUAGCGUAAUCACUUGUCUUCUAAAUAAAGACUAGUAUGAAUGGCAUCACGAGGACUAAACUGUCUCCCCCAUCCAAUCAGUGAAACUGAUCUCCCCGUGCAGAAGCGGGGCUAAUAACAUAAGACGAGAAGACCCUGUGGAGCUUUAAAAUCAAUGUCAACUGCCUUACCCCUCAUUUACACUUAUGCAAGUAUAAUUUUGAUUUUUCAGCUGGGGCGCCUAUGGAGAAAACCCACCCUCCAUGAAGAACUUACCACGAGCUACCACACUAAGUAUUAAUAAACUCAACUUAAAUUGAUCCAAUUUAUUGAUCAACGGACCAAGUUACCCCAGGGAUAACAGCGCAAUCCACUUUUAGAGUCCCUAUCGACAAGUGGGCUUACGACCUCGAUGUUGGAUUAGGGCAUCCCAGUGGUGCAACCAUUACUAAAGGUUCGUUUGUUCAACGAUUAAAGCCCUACGUGAUCUGAG
rnacentral:rRNA from 1 species